rnacentral:sRNA from 1 species
AUGUACCCACGUACAUUCCGGUUCCUCCGCGCCGGCCGCACCCACCUGACGACUGCUCGCUACGUUUUGUUAGCC